rnacentral:rRNA from 1 species
UACGUAGGCAGCAAGCGUUGUUCGGAAUUACUGGGCGUAAAGCGCGCGUAGGCGGCUUUGCAAGUCGGGUGUGAAAUCCCCAGGCUUAACCUGGGAACUGCAUUCGAGACUGCAUUGCUAGAGUAUGGGAGAGGGAAGUGGAAUUUCCGGUGUAGCGGUGAAAUGCGUAGAUAUCGGAAGGAACAUCAGUGGCGAAAGCGACUUCCUGGACCAAUACUGACGCUCAUGUGCGAAAGCGUGGGGAGCAAACAGG